rnacentral:rRNA from 1 species
GGAGGACACUGGGGAUCGAAAGACCUUAUGCUUCUGGAGCGGCCGCUGUCUGAUUAGCUAGCUGGUGGGGUAAAGGCUCACCAAGGCAAUGAUCAGUAGUUGGUCUGAGAGGACGACCAGCCACACUGGGACUGAGACACGGCCCAGACUCCUACGGGAGGCAGCAGUGGGGAAUUUUGGACAAUGGGCGAAAGCCUGAUCCAGCAAUGCCGCGUGAGUGAAGAAGGCCUUCGGGUUGUAAAGCUCUUUCAGUCGAGAAGAAAAAAUUAUGACUAAUAAUCAUAAUUCAUGACGGUAUCGAUAGAAGAAGCACCGGCUAACUACGUGCCAGCAGCCGCGGUAAUACGUAGGGUGCAAGCGUUAAUCGGAAUUACUGGGCGUAAAGGGUGCGCAGGCGGUUCUGUAAGUCAGAUGUGAAAUCCCCGGGCUUAACCUGGGAACUGCGUUUGAAACUACAAGGCUAGAAGGG